rnacentral:snoRNA from 1 species
GCAUCUGAAUCUUUUCCACUCCUUGCAGUGCAGUGCUGGACUGGAGAUACCUGAUGCAACAGGAAAGCAGAGGGAAUCCAGACAAGCUCCCUUUCCCCACAGUGGGACUUGUCUCUACACCUUUGCAACAUUU